AAACGAAUACCGUGACAAUGUGAGGUGAUGUAAGAAUUGCUUUGCAAGUGCUAGAGAUCCGGAUGUAAUUCAGCAGCCUUUCUACCCGUCUUCAUUAGAUGCAUUAUUAACUUAGCUUCGACAUUUGAACUGUCAAUGUUAAUGUAACUGCCUGCUAAUUCUAUAUUUUUGUUUUGCCCGGCUUUGGCUUUGGGUUUACGGUAAACUUUCAAUGUCUGGAGAACGGUAAAGGUGUCCUUCCCCGCCCAAUCCAACUUUCGUACGGAUGGUCGUAGAGAGCCAGAAGUACGUCAAACAAGAGUUCACAUCACAGAGGACGAAUCAGGCACGAGCCCAAAGAAGUCUGGAGCGUCACGCAGCGGUGUGGACAGCUGGCCCCGGAACGGAACCAACACCGGCACGUGAAGGAGGCACGCCAAUAAAACACGUCAGUCAUAUCAUUCUUCAGUCUCCUGAUUGUGCCUGGCCUGCGGUCUCACGACUGCACACAUCCCGUGGAACCCAGCUCGAUGCUAGCGCAGCACGGACCGCAUCCGCGCCGGGAUUGGAACCGGAGUCCCCCAGUCUACGGGCGUGGGGACAGGACGAGGUGGGCGGCCCCGGGGGCGUUGUACUGUACGACCAUCCACUCCGUGCACAAGUGCUCGACGGCAGUUAGAGCUGAGGCCAGCAGA